rnacentral:rRNA from 1 species
GACGAACGCUGGCGGCGUGCUUAACACAUGCAAGUCAAACGGAAAGGCCCUGCUUUUGUGGGGUGCUCGAGUGGCGAACGGGUGAGUAACACGUGAGUAACCUGCCCUUGACUUUGGGAUAACUUCAGGAAACUGGGGCUAAUACCGGAUAGGAGCUCCUGCUGCAUGGUGGGGGUUGGAAAGUUUCGGCGGUUGGGGAUGGACUCGCGGCUUAUCAGCUUGUUGGUGGGGUAGUGGCUUACCAAGGCUUUGACGGGUAGCCGGCCUGAGAGGGUGACCGGCCACAUUGGGACUGAGAUACGGCCCAAACUCCUACGGGAGGCAGCAGUGGGGAAUAUUGCACAAUGGGCGGAAGCCUGAUGCAGCAACGCCGCGUGCGGGAUGACGGCCUUCGGGUUGUAAACCGCUUUCGCCUGUGACGAAGCGUGAGUGACGGUAAUGGGUAAAGAAGCACCGGCUAACUACGUG